rnacentral:sRNA from 1 species
UUCUGCCCUACGGGGAAGGAUGAGAAGCUUCGACUAAGGUUCGACUCGAGCGCCAGCGAGAGAACGUUGCCAAGGGCAACGGCCCGAAGGGCGAGGAGCGAUAGCGACGAGUUAUCCUUCCCCCACCACCA